UACGGAGGGUGCAAGCGUUAUCCGGAUUCACUGGGUUUAAAGGGUGCGUAGGCGGGCAGGUAAGUCCGUGGUGAAAUCUCUGAGCUUAACUCAGAAACUGCCAUGGAUACUAUCUGUCUUGAAUAUUGUGGAGGUAAGCGGAAUAUGUCAUGUAGCGGUGAAAUGCUUAGAUAUGACAUAGAACACCAAUUGCGAAGGCAGCUGGCUACACAAAUAUUGACACUGAGGCACGAAAGCGUGGGGAUCAAACAGG
rnacentral:rRNA from 1 species